UACGUAGGGUGCAAGCGUUAAUCGGAAUUACUGGGCGUAAGCGUGCGCAGGCGGUUGUGCAAGACAGAUGUGAAAUCCCCGGGCUCAACCUGGGAACUGCAUUUGUGACUGCACGGCUGGAGUGGCGGCAGAGGGGGAUGGAAUUCCGCGUGUAAGCAGUGAAAUGCGUAGAUAUCUGGAGGAACACCGGUGGCGAAGGCGGCGAUCCUGGACCGAUAUUGACGCUGAUGACGCAAAA
rnacentral:rRNA from 1 species